GGAAAGACUGUAGCUCAGUGGUAGAGUACCUGCUUUGCAUUCAUAAAGUCCCUGGGUCAAUUCCUGGCAUCUCCA